rnacentral:rRNA from 1 species
GGCUGAGAGAUCAGCUGUUCCCUUCGGGGACAGAAUGACAGGUGGUGCAUGGUUGUCGUCAGCUCGUGUCGUGAGAUGUUGGGUUAAGUCCCGCAACGAGCGCAACCCUUAUGAUCAGUUGCCAGUAUUCAGUUGGGCACUCUGGUCAGACUGCCGGUGACAAACCGGAGGAAGGCGGGGAUGACGUCAAAUCAUCAUGCCCCUUAUGACCUGGGCUACACACGUGCUACAAUGGGUGGUACAACGAGCAGCGAGACCGCGAGGUCAAGCGAAUCUCUAAAAACCAUCCUCAGUUCGGAUUGCAGGCUGCAACUCGCCUGCAUGAAGCUGGAAUCGCUAGUAAUCGCGGAUCAGCACGCCGCGGUGAAUACGUUCCCGGGUCUUGUACACACCGA